rnacentral:rRNA from 1 species
GGAUAAGCUUGGGAAACUGAGUCUAAUACCGGAUAUGACCACAGCAUGCAUGUGUUGUGGUGGAAAGAUUUAUCGGUGCAGGAUGGGCCCGCGGCCUAUCAGCUUGUUGGUGGGGUAAUGGCCUACCAAGGCGACGACGGGUAGCCGACCUGAGAGGGUGACCGGCCACACUGGGACUGAGACACGGCCCAUACUCCUACGGGAGGCAGCAGUGGGGAAUAUUGCACAAUGGGCGGAAGCCUGAUGCAGCGACGCCGCGUGAGGGAUGAAGGCCUUCGGGUUGUAAACCUCUUUCAGCAGGGACGAAGCGUGAGUGACGGUACCUGCAGAAGAAGCACCGGCUAACUACGUGCCAGCAGCCGCGGUAAUACGUAGGGUGCGAGCGUUGUCCGGAAUUACUGGGCGUAAAGAGUUCGUAGGCGGUUUGUCGCGUCGUUUGUGAAAACCCGGGGCUCAACUUCGGGCUUGCAGGCGAUACGGGCAGACUUGAGUGUUUCAAG